AUUUACAUAAUGAUGACUAAAUAGUUAUCCCUGUCUGAAAUUAACAUUUGUUGAAGAUAUGGUUUCUGAAGUGGUU
rfam:Agrilus planipennis Contig67870, whole genome shotgun sequence.